GGGGACAGGGACCAGUCAGUGCCUAGAGGAGCUGCCCACAAGAAACAUCAGGAAGUCAGUAGGAUGUGCAUAUAAUGAAAUACCUGUUGAGGUCACUACGGGUAAUCCUAGAGGGAGAACCCUGGGAAAGGAAAGCAGCACCAAAAAUACCAGAGGGAUGAGAAGGGGACCAAACACACCCUGCAGGAGCAGCCAGAAGAGCUAAUGAUGGGUUCCAGCUGUGGCUCCUGCGGCAGGGACCAAGCUCAGCUGUGCUCUCUUGGCCCUCCUGAUACUGCCCUGAGUUCCCACUCCUAACUAAGGAAAUGCAGUAAAUGAUUAGUGAGUCCCAAAAUGCUGAGCCUGGGAGGUAGGAGACAAAACAAGGCAGGAGGUUCUGCCCCUAAAAACAGCUUUUAGUUCAAUCCUCAGCUUCUGCUUUGGGCUCUGAGGUGCUCCUACUUAAAAACCAUCUGUCAGCACCGCACAUUGCUGCCUGUUCUUCCACUUAGCCACAAGGCUGUGGGAGCCUGCAGGAAUAAUAUU